rnacentral:rRNA from 1 species
CUUCGGACUUCACGCUAUUGGAUGAGCCCAAGUCGGAUUAGCUUGAUGGUGGGGUAACGGCCUACCAAGGCGACGAUCCGUAGCUGGUCUGAGAGGACGAUCAGCCACACUGGGACUGAGACACGGCCCAGACUCCUACGGGAGGCAGCAGUGGGGAAUAUUGGACAAUGGGGGCAACCCUGAUCCAGCAAUGCCGCGUGUGUGAAGAAGGCCUGCGGGUUGUAAAGCACUUUCAGUAGAGAAGAAAAGCUUAGGGUUAAUACCCCUGAGUCUUGACGUAACCUACAGAAGAAGCACCGGCUAACUCCGUG